GUCGGUGCGCAAUGGUUGCAAGCCGGACUCCAAAUCCGUGUUGCGAGGGUUCAAUUCCUUCCACCGAUG
rnacentral:tRNA from 1 species